GUGAUCAUACCAGCACUAAUGCAUAGGAUCCCAUCAGAACUCCGCAGU
rnacentral:rRNA from 1 species